AUGAACGCUGGCGGCGUGCCUAAUACAUGCAAGUCGAGCGAACAGACGAGGAGCUUGCUCCUCUGACGUUAGCGGCGGACGGGUGAGUAACACGCGGAUAACCUACCUAUAAGACUGGGAUAACUUCGGGAAACCGGAGCUAAUACCGGAUAAUAUAUUGAACCGCAUGGUUCAAUAGUGAAAGACGGUUUUGCUGUCACUUAUAGAUGGAUCCGCGCCGCAUUAGCUAGUUGGUAAGGUAACGGCUUACCAAGGCAACGAUGCGUAGCCGACCUGAGAGGGUGAUCGGCCACACUGGAACUGAGACACGGUCCAGACUCCUACGGGAGGCAGCAGUAGGGAAUCUUCCGCAAUGGGCGAAAGCCUGACGGAGCAACGCCGCGUGAGUGAUGAAGGUCUUCGGAUCGUAAAACUCUGUUAUUAGGGAAGAACAAAUGUGUAAGUAACUAUGCACGUCUUGACGGUACCUAAUCAGAAAGCCACGGCUAACUACGUG
rnacentral:rRNA from 1 species